GCUCAGUUGGUAAAAUUAAAAUACAAGGCUUUUAAACUUGUGGUCGUGGGUUCGAGCCCCACGGUGGGCC
rnacentral:tRNA from 1 species